GAUGAACGCUGGCGGCGUGCUUAACACAUGCAAGUCGAACGAAGCACUUUACCACGAUUCCUUCGGGAUGACGGUUUAGUGACUGAGUGGCGGACGGGUGAGUAACGCGUGGGGAACCUGCCCCAUACCGGGGGAUAACAGCCGGAAACGGCUGCUAAUACCGCAUAAGCGCACAGUACCGCAUGGUACGGUGUGAAAAACUCCGGUGGUGUGAGAUGGACCCGCGUCUGAUUAGCCAGUUGCGGGGUAACGGCCCACCAAAGCGACGAUCAGUAGCCGGCCUGAGAGGGUGAACGGCCACAUUGGGACUGAGACACGGCCCAAACUCCUACGGGAGGCAGCAGUGGGGAAUAUUGCACAAUGGGGGAAACCCUGAUGCAGCGACGCCGCGUGAGUGAAGAAGUAUUUCGGUAUGUAAAGCUCUAUCAGCAGGGAAGAAAGUGACGGUACCUGAAUAAGAAGCCCCGGCUAACUACGUG
rnacentral:rRNA from 1 species